rnacentral:rRNA from 1 species
UACGGAGGGGGCUAGCGUUGUUCGGAAUUACUGGGCGUAAAGCGCACGUAGGCGGCUUUGUAAGUUAGAGGUGAAAGCCCGGGGCUCAACUCCGGAAUUGCCUUUAAGACUGCAUCGCUCGAGUUGUGGAGAGGUAAGUGGAAUUCCGAGUGUAGAGGUGAAAUUCGUAGAUAUUCGGAAGAACACCAGUGGCGAAGGCGACUUACUGGACACAUACUGACGCUGAGGUGCGAAAGCGUGGGGAGCAACAGG